rnacentral:rRNA from 1 species
AUGCAAGAUUAUUUUUCGGAGAACCCUACAUAUCCUGCACACCUCUUCCGCAGAAGGUAUCGAAUGCGCCGAUUCCUUUUUGUGAAAAUUGUUGAAACUUGCGAGGCAAAUUGCCGGUAUUUCACUCAGAGAAGGAAUGCCGUGGGCUUAAAGGGUUUUAGUGCAUAUCAAAAAAUCUCCGCAGCUAUGCGAGUGAUUGCAUACGGAGAUUGA